GAAGGUGUAGCUCAAGUGGUAGAGCACGUGCUUAGCAUGCACGAGGUCCUGGGUUCAAUCCCCAGCGCCUCCA
rnacentral:tRNA from 1 species